rnacentral:rRNA from 1 species
GACGAACGCUGGCGGCGUGCCUAAUACAUGCAAGUCGAACGCAGUGGGGACGGGUGAGUAACACGUGGGUAACCUCCCAUCAGAGGGGAUAACACUUGGAAACAGGUGCUAAACCGAUAAUGCUGGAAGGACCAGCGGUGCAUUAGCUAGUUGGUGAGGUAACGGCUCACCAAGGACACGAUGCAUAGCCGACCGGAGAGGGUGAUCGGUCACACUGUGACUGAGACACGGCCCAUACUCCUACGGGAGGCAGCAGUAGUGAAUCUUCGGCAAUGGACGAAAGUCUGACCGAGCAAUGCCGCGUGAGUGAAGAAGGUUUUCGGAUCGGAAAACUCUGUUGUUAGAGAAGCGGUAUCUAACCAGAAAGCCACGGCUAACUACGUGCCAGCCGCCGCGGUAAUUC